CCAGAGGGUAUAGUUACUAUGACUAUGAAGAAGCAUAGUACAGUUAGCGUAGAAUAAUAGAAUCUCUUAUUAGCUACUUGACUAUAAAGAUACAGGAUCAUCAAAUUGCAUUCUUUUGUGUGGAUUUGAAUUAACAGUCAAAGUCUGUGUAUUGAUAUUUCAGAUGCUGUUUGUGUCAUGCAAAUUUGUCGUGAAAUGGGCCAUGAACUUCUUUCUUUUCUGGUGAGUUUGAUUGCAAGAGCUUAAGGUAAUUGUUGGACUUCCACUCCUUAUCAAUCAUGCGGAUGUAUGAAACUGUGAGAUUGAUCUACUAAGGAAUCUCGUAUGUUCAGUUGACGUAUCUUUCCAUUCUAUUCUCCAUUGUUCAAAGAUCCAUGCAAUAGUACUUGUGUGCAGAGAUGCCCAACAUCACAAGGGUCAGAAUGCACUUUGAUCCAGUCUGUCCUCGCCUUCGAAUGCUUCCCUCUGCAUAUUUUGUAAGACUCUUCUCGUCCUAUACUAUUAUUGGUUGCCAGCAAGUGCUUACACCUCUUUACUUGCACAAAUGCUCUUUAAAAUCCGGUUAUAGUUGAUAAUUUGAUAGGUCUACGAAGAUGCGAGCAUGCCUGCUUUCCACCACCCUACACUAAUGGGAGCAUUCCCCCACCUUCAGAUGAACGAAAGAAACCCAAGCUUAUGUUAGUGAUUAGUAAAAGAUGAGUUGUUAUCUGUAUUCUGCAGUGAACCGUUCCUUUUCUGCUUGAGCUUUCUUCUUGGUGGAAAAUUGUGUUGUCUCACUUUAUGCAGGUCACUCUUUCACAUUCACUCAGAUUCAGCAAAGGUACACUUCACUGGCCAACGGACUCAUUUAUUGGGGAGAAGUAGUUGGGUCUUGUAUAACAAUUUUGUUCCAGGGCCAAUUGAAAGGUUAUAGCAGAAACCUUAUCGGUUCUACUUUUCGGGCAGGCCUGUUUAACCUUGAAGAGUACACAUGAUAAGAGAUCAGGAGGUUACUGCAUCUUGCAUAGACUUCAGUAAUCCUCUAUCCUCAUGGAACGGUGAUUUUCCUCUCCAUAUUUGACUGGCUUCUACAUUACACUUCUUUUUGGAUCCUUGGCUUCACAACUGUCAUCCUUCUUCUGAUUAUGUAAUCAACCACUAAUAAGCAGGUGCUAUUGUCCCAGAUAGUUCAGGAAGCUGUAAGAAGAUCCUGAAGUUUAGCCAUUUUGGAGGUUUCGCAACUUGACAGCCAUUUGGAGAAAAUGCCAUUUAUGUUGAAUGAUCUUAUCAGAAAAAUCAGCACUACCAAUUGAUGGCAAUCACUUGCUUGAUAUAUGUAGAUGCUGUCGCUAUUAGAUCUGGUGUCUAUGACUGCCAAUCUACAGUGCCAUGUUCGUUUGAUUAUUGUUGAUCAAAGAAGUUUCAACAUACUGUAUCCAGGUGGUAGAAAGUAUAUUUUACCAGGGAAGAUGAGGAUGGAAUUUGAGGGAGAAUUGAAAUUAUAUGUAAGAGGAUUUUGCGAGUUGUGCAAUGAUACAAUCUAAUCGUGUAGUUGGCUCUUGCUUAGUUAUCUAUUGUUUUCAUUUUUCCUUUAUCUUCAAGCACGGAUGCAAAAAUUCUGUACUACUUGGAGGCUACUGAAUUUGUGAGGUCUAAAUGGAGAAGAUGAGCAAGCACAGAUGGGAUCUAUUGCAAGAGUUCAUGCGAGGAGAUGGACUGCGUGUUUCUGCUCCUGUUGGAGUGCAGAGUAAAUUGCCAUAUGCAAGCGCCCACGAUCAGGUGAUGGUUCGAUUUUCUCAGGGUAGUAUUUUUUCUGCCCAUUCAUUUGGUUUAUAAAGGCGAAUUUGUUAUAGAAGGGAUCGCACGACCUGGAAAGAGUUCUAUUUCAAGACUACGGAGUGAGGCCUGUAAGUGAAUAUGCAAUAUACGUUGAUGCCAUUCUUGUCGGAUUAUGGAAGUUCCACCGUGGCGUUAGCAAGUGAACUUGGGAGCAGAGGAUGACAUUGUGGAAAAUGACCAGAAGAUAAAUGUGGAAAGGACUCACUCUUUUCUGCAAAUUGAUAGUUUCUGAGCCGACAAUUGAUGAUUGGAUUCCAUCUGAUGUUGUCCUAACUAUGAUUGGAUAAUUCAUUGCUGCAGUUGGCUUGUGCUCGACCCAUGUAAUGCUUUUCCACCUUUUUCCAGGGGUGGAGAUGAGCAUGUAAUAAAUAGAAGAGACGAGCGUGCAUCGAUAGGGGCUGCUAGAGAAGGUUAUUUUCUGCCUUUUUUGGCAGUGCCAAAAAGGAAUUGUCAUGCUUAACUACGCUUUAAUCAUGUUGUCAUUUUCUGAACUUAUGAUAAUUUGUUUAGCUUCUUCAAAAUUUUAAUAAGUGAUAUAGUAAACCACUGCGUAAUAUGAA